UCCUCUCAACUCAAGUAUGAAGAACAUGACCACCUUUUUCUUUACCACCACCGCUUUCUUCUCCACCACCACCACCACCGCUAUACAGAGAAUCAUCAUCUUUUUCUUCUUAUUAUUCAAUCAAAUCAUCAUCUUUUUCUCCUUCUCGUUCAAUCAAUGACAAUAAGUCAAGGGAAAUUAGGGUAUUGAGUUGUUGAGUUACUGAUAGAGGAUGAGAAUAACAAGGACGCAUAAUUGAGAGAUUAAACAUUAUUUUAUGGGUACAUAUUUUUGUUUGAAUCUGUAUGUCAUUAUUUAACUGUGGUUUAUUUGAGUAACAAAUGGAAAUUAGGGAUCUUAUUUCUUAGGGAUGAUUUAUGUUGAAAUUGAAGAAUUGGGUUACGAUGCUUGUGUUCAAAGAAUCAGAAGAUCGAGAUUACAACAGUUUGGGAUUGAAAUGGUGGCUUGUUUGGCUUGAAGUUGGUGGUGCUGAGAUGUGCAAUUAAUAUUGGUUGGGUGCAAUGGAAAUUAGGGUUCUUAGGGAUGAUUUGUUGAAGUCAUUGGGUUAUGAUGCUUGUUGGUUGUGUAGGUUACAUUGUGAAAACAUUGUUGAUAUGGAGAUUAAGGUUCUUGCUACUUUCUUAAUUGGAUUAAUUGUAUUGAUUAUUAAAACUUUAUCUGUUUUUGUGAUUUUGGAUUCA